UAGGGGGUCAUUUCUGAGUGCGUUGGGCCGCAACUGGCAUCCGGAACAUUUCAACUGUGCUGGAUGUAGGAAAUCUCUGCAGAAUAAAGGCUUCGUUGAAGAGUCAGAUAAUCUGUAUUGUGAAAAUUGUUAUGAUAUGAAGUUCGCGCCACAUUGUGAUGUCUGUAAUGAAGCUAUUGUUGGGGUAAGUCUUUAUCGUACCGUGUGCAUUCUAAUAGACGCCCAAUGUCUAAUAAUCGCCCGCUUCGUGUCGGAAAUUUCUUUCUUUCUUAAUUAGUACCAGGGGCGUAGGAA